rnacentral:rRNA from 1 species
UACAGAGGUCCCAAGCGUUGUUCGGAUUUACUGGGCGUAAAGGGCGCGUAGGCGGCAUGACAAGUCACUUGUGAAAUCUCCGGGCUUAACUCGGAACGGUCAAGUGAUACUGUCGCGCUAGAGUGCGGAAGGGGCAAUCAGAAUUCUUGGUGUAGCGGUGAAAUGCGUAGAUAUCAAGAGGAAUACCUGAGGUGAAGACGGGUUGCUAGGCCGACACUGACGCUGAAGCGCGAAAGCCAGGGGAGCAAACGGG